CCUAACUAAAGCAUUUACUAGUCCCAGUAUAGGCGAUAGAAAAGACACCAUUGGAGCGAUAGAGAUCACGUACCGUAAGGGAAAGAUGAAAUAGCAGUGAAAUAAAUAAGCUAAAAAAAGCAAAGAUCAACCCUUGUACCUUUUGCAUCAUGGUCUAGCAAGAAAAACCAAGCAAAAUGAAUUUAAGUUUGCCAUCCCGAAACCCAAGCGAGCUACUUACGAGCAGCUAUUAUUGAGCGAACCCGUCUCUGUUGCAAAAGAGUGGGAUGACUUGUUAGUAGAGGUGAAAAGCCAAUCGAGCUGGGUGAUAGCUGGUUGCCUGUGAAACGAAUCUUAGUUCACUCUUAAUUCUUCUCCAAGGAAACACCCAAACCCCAAUGAAGCGAAUUAAGGGCUAUUUAAAGGAGGUACAGCUCCUUUAAAAAAGAAUACAAUCUCUACGAGCGGAUAAAUAAUCAAAAGACAAAAUUACUGUGGGCCCUCAAGCAGCCAUCAACAAAGAGUGCGUUAAAGCUCUGUGCUCUAAAAAUACAAGAACCAUAUGACUCCCUCCCCAUUAACAGGCUAACCUAUGCCAAUAGGAGAAUUAAUGCUAGAAUGAGUAACCAGGGUUCUCCCUCUUCGACGCAAGCUUACAUCCGUACAUUAUUAACAAACCACCAUAUACGA
rnacentral:rRNA from 1 species